UUUCGGGGUUUGAGUAAGGAGACAAAGCUGAACCAUUUAUUAUGUCUAUGCUGUCUGACUAUGUGUGUUCUUUGCUAUGAAAGGAUCGCAGUUGCAAUGCAGAGGGGGCUCUCAGAGAAUUCAUUUAUAGACACUGAAUUGCCUGAGAGUCACAGGGUUGUGAUAAAGCUCAUAUAAUUAAAGAUGGACUUUGAUAACUAACUCUGACUUGUGUUGUGGUUUGCUCCCAUGAUUUGGUAAAUAGAGGAAAUUUCCACGACAAGAGACGGUGACGGAAUUUCACAAACAUUGCUUUUCCCAGUCUACAAGACGACGUACGGAAGUCAACCUCAGUUCCCGAUGACGUAAGGACUGGUGUCCAUACAUUUAAAAGGGCUCAUUUCAACGUGGAGGUGACGUUCACCACGCUGGAAGGAUGAAUUUCGACUAGACCUGCUAGAAUACAGCACGAGCUGAGUAUGGCAACUUGGUAUGAACUUUGAAAUCUUAUUCACUAAAGAAGAAGAUACAUCCUAGACGUUGAGUUAUCAGCUGCAGCUGUAAACGUACGUGACCUAGGAAAGGACAGACAAUCUCCUGAGAAUGACAGGGACUUCAACGUAUCCACUCUAUAACACUAUGACCAGAUUGAAGAAUCUAAGGACAAUGGUGAUCUCUGCUGGGUAAACCAGUCUUCCAUCUUCGACCCAUUUAUUGAAGCACAGCUCAGUGUAAAUUGUAAAAGUGUAAGUUGCAUUUUCCUUUUCAGAAUGGCCGGUUAUUAGAAUGCAUAAGAUUCUGUAUUUAAUUUAGGUGACACCCAAAAGUGCAUCACGUGGUUACUUAUGAUAACCAGCCAAUCACAAUUGAUUGGAUAUCGAUAUCUCAUUGAAUUGAACUAAUAAGUCAAAUUGCCAGACUUACCUUUUCAGAUCGAUCUUUUAAAUAAUAUCUAAAUUGAUUGGUUUUCUACAAUGAGACAAUUAAAACUUUUCCACAUUAACCUAGAGCAACAAGGCUCUCAGAUUAAUUAAAGUUUAAUUCCCAAAUAACCUAUACAGGUUUGAUGUAUCAUUUGUAGUAAAACGCCAAAUGGAUCUACCUCCUGGUCCUCUUCCCCUGUCUUACCCACCAAGGGUAGAGACAGAGAUGACCUCGCCUACUGAAAUACCGGAUUGGGCAAAGCCACCAGAAGACGACUCAAGCCAACCAACUACUGAACCUGACUGGUGUCAGGAAGAAUCACCCUCUGCCUCAAGUGACACCUCUGAAUGGGAACAGCUGUUAGACUCAUUGCUGAUAGAGUAAGGGCACUGUCAUAAACAGAGGCCCAUAUGCGCACUGUAAGAAAAGUAUUUCCUCAUUGUUGCUAGAGUAAUAGGCUCUGUCAUAACCAGAGGCCCAUAUAUGCACUGUAAGAAAAGUAUUUCCUGUUGUAAGAUAUGUCAUCACCCUCUCUGCUCUGAGGGAAUGGGAGAUGCAGCGGAUCGGGUGCAGAGAAUCAAAAGGUAUAUAAAGAGACAUUUGCCAUUACUUUGGCGCUGACUUCUUGAAUUCUGAAUUCAUUUAGACAACCAUUUGACUUCGGGUAAUUGCCACCUGACUCAAAUUACUUAAAGAUUCUAACUUGUUGGAUCUGAGAAGGGUCUCUCCGAUAUACCGUUUAACUAUUGAACAGCUGUUCUCUCGCCUGUGGCCUUGGUGCUUGUAUACUGAUGCAAAUUAUAUCCAGAGCCAGUCUUUGAAACUGCAACUCUCGAUUGAGCUCAGUACCUCGCCCUAGUUGCAUGGCACGGACGCUGCGGUAGUUCAACGGGACUGAGAGUCACUCUAGUCCUUAAGUUGAUCUCCUGUUAAUACCUACAGUUAUCUGAAUUGACCCUGUCGCCCGCGGCCUUGGUGCUUGUAUACUGAUGUAAAUUACACCCAGAGACAGUCUUUGAAACUGAACCUCUCGGUUGAGCUCAGUACCUCGCCCUAGUUGUGUGGCCCAGACUCUUCGAUAUUCCAGUAGGGCAGGGAAUCACCAGCGGGUUCUCUCAUCCAGUCCAAACUUGAAUCUCUCAAUUUAGUAAAGCACCGACUUCAAGUCAACCUCUCAGCCAGUAGAAGGGAGUCGCUACUAACUAAAUUCAAAAAGAACUCUGACCGAUUGAAACUCUGCUCCUGAUCUCGUGGGUCUCCUCAUCAUCUCUCAAAGGUAAUUAAAUAACUAUUAUAAGUAUUUAAUAUAGAGAUAAGUGUUAUCAUUGUACCAGGCAUUUUAUAGAGCAUUAAGGCUUUUGCAUGUUUUUGAUUAACGCUGUGUGUGACCGAGUAACAAAUUGUGUAUUUUGAAGUGUGUUUGAUUGUAAAAGACAAAAAACAGAGUGUUUUCAAAAAUAAACAGUAGUCUUAUUUUGUCUCGAGUAAAAGGUUCUCUCAAAGACAGUUAACGGCACGGGAGAUAACAACUCUGACACUCCCCGCUACCGGGACACUGGAAACGGGGAUCAAUGCUCUAUGACAGAAUGAGUUACCAUUAAAAGACAA